rnacentral:rRNA from 1 species
UAGGGAAUCUUCGGCAAUGGGGGGAACCCUGACCGAGCAACGCCGCGUGAGUGAAGAAGGUUUUCGGAUCGUAAAGCUCUGUUGUUAAGGAAGAACGAGUGUGAGAAUGGAAAGUUCAUACUGUGACGGUACUUAACCAGAAAGGGACGGCUAACUACGUGCCAGCAGCCGCGGUAAUACGUAGGUCCCGAGCGUUGUCCGGAUUUAUUGGGCGUAAAGCGAGCGCAGGCGGUUAGAAAAGUCUGAAGUGAAAGGCAGUGGCUCAACCAUUGUAGGCUUUGGAAACUGUUUAACUUGAGUGCAGAAGGGGAGAGUGGAAUUCCAUGUGUAGCGGUGAAAUGCGUAGAUAUAUGGAGGAACACCGGUGGCGAAAGCGGCUCUCUGGCUUGUAACUGACGCUGAGGCUCGAAAGCGUGGGGAGCAAACAGGAUUAGAUACCCUGGUAGUCCACGCCGUAAACGAUGAGUGCUAGGUGUUAGACCCUUUCCGGGGUUUAGUGCCGCAGCUAACGCAUUAAGCACUCCGCCUGGGGAGUACGACCGCAAGGUUG